rnacentral:rRNA from 1 species
CCUACGGGUGGCAGCAGUGGGGGAUAUUGCACAAUGGGCGAAAGCCUGAUGCAGCGAAGUCGCGUGAGGGAAGACGGUCCUCGGAUUGUUAACCUUUGUCUUUGGGGAAGCAGAUGACGGUACCCAUAGAGGACGCUCCGGCUAACUACGUGCCAGCAGCCGCGGUAAUACGUAGGGAGCGAGCGUUGUCCGGAAUUACUGGGUGUAAAGGGGGCGUAGGCGGGGAUGCAAGUUGGAUGUUAAAACUAGCGGCUCAACCGGUAAUUGCAACUAAAACUGGAACUCUUGAGUGAAGGAGAGGCAUGCGGAAUGCGUGGUGUAGCGGUGAAAUGCGUAGAUAUUAGGAAGAACACCAGUGGCGAAGGCAGCCUACUGGGCUUUAACUGACGCUGAGGCUCGAAAGCGUGGGGAGCAAACAGGAUUAGAUACCCCUGUAGUC